rnacentral:rRNA from 1 species
UACGUAGGGACCGAGCGUUGUCCGGAAUCAUUGGGCGUAAAGAGCGUGUAGGCGGCCACUUAAGUCCUGCGUGAAAUCUUGCGGCUCAACCGCAAGCGGUCGUGGGAAACUGGGUGGCUAGAGUGCGGGAGAGGAGAGUGGAAUUCCUGGUGUAGCGGUGGAAUGCGCAGAUAUCAGGAAGAACACCCGUGGCGAAGGCUGCUCUCUGGAACGCAACUGACGCUGAGACGCGAAAGCGUGGGGAGCAAACAGG